rnacentral:rRNA from 1 species
AUUGAACGCUGGCGGCAGGCCUAACACAUGCAAGUCGAACGAGUGGCGGACGGGUGAGUAAUGUCUGGGAAACUGCCUGAUGGAGGGGGACAACUACUGGAAACGGUAGCUAAUACCGCAUACCAUCAGAUGUGCCCAGAUGGGAUUAGCUCGUUGGUGGGGUAACGGCUCACCAAGGCGACGAUCCCUAGCUGGUCUGAGAGGAUGACCAGCCACACGGGAACUGAGAGACGGUCAAGAGUCCUACGGGAGGCAGAAGUGGGGAAUAUUGGACAAGGGGCGCAAGCAUGAGGCAGCCAUGCCGCGUGUAUGAAGAAGGCCUUGGGGUUGUAAAGUACUUUCAGCGGGGAGGCGUUACCCGCAGAAGAAGCACCGGCUAACUCCGUGCCAGCAGCCGCGGUAAUUC